rnacentral:rRNA from 1 species
CCUACGGGUGGCAGCAGUCGAGAAUCAUUCACAAUGGGGGAAACCCUGAUGGUGCGACGCCGCGUGGGGGAAUGAAGGUCUUCGGAUUGUAAACCCCUGUCAUGUGGGAGCAAAUUAAAAAGAUAGUACCACAAGAGGAAGAGACGGCUAACUCUGUGCCAGCAGCCGCGGUAAUACAGAGGUCUCAAGCGUUGUUCGGAAUCACUGGGCGUAAGGCGUGCGUAGGCUGUUUCGUAAGUCGUGUGUGAAAGGCGCGGGCUCAACCCGCGGACGGCCCAUGAUACUGCGAGACUAGAGUAAUGGAGGGGGAACCGGAAUUCUCGGUGUAGCAGUGAAAUGCGUAGAUAUCGAGAGGAACACUCGUGGCGAAGGCGAGUUCCUGGACAUUAACUGACGCUGAGGCACGAAGGCCAGGGGAGCGAAAGGGAUUAGAUACCCCAGUAGUC